GGAGGGAUCAUUACUGAGUUAUCAAAACUCCAAACCCUUUGUGAACCUUACCGUCGUUGCCUCGGCGUGAGCUACGGCUACCCUGUAGCUACCCUGGAGCUACCCUGGAGUUACCCUAUAGCUACCCUGCACUUACCCUGCAGCUACCCUAUAGCUACCCUGGAGCUACCCUGGAGCUACCCUGUAGCCGGCUUCGGCCCGCCGGAGGACCGUCAAACUCUUGUUUUUUACCACUGUUUCUCUGAAUUUUAAACUAAAAUAAGUUAAAACUUUCAACAACGGAUCUCUUGGUUCUGGCAUCGAUGAAGAACGCAGCGAAAUGCGAUAAGUAAUGUGAAUUGCAGAAUUCAGUGAAUCAUCGAAUCUUUGAACGCACAUUGCGCCCAUUAGUAUUCUAGUGGGCAUGCCUAUUCGAGCGUCAUUUCGACCCCUAAGCCCCUGUUGCUUAGCGUUGGGAAUCUACGGCGUAGUUCCCCAAAGUCAGUGGCGGAGUUAGGGUACACUCUCAGCGUAGUAAUCUCUCUCGCUCGUGUGGUGGCCCUGGCUGCUAGCCGUUAAACCCCCUAUAUUUUCUAGUGGUUGACCUCGGAUUAGGUAGGAAUACCCGCUGAACUUAAGCAUAUCAAUAAGCGGAGGAAAAGAAACCAACAGGGAUUGCCCUAGUAACGGCGAGUGAAGCGGCAA
rnacentral:rRNA from 1 species